GCUUACGGCCAUACCAGCCUGAAAGAGCCCGAUCUCGUCAGAUCUCGGAAGCUAAGCAAGGUCGGGCCUGGUUAGUACUUGGAUGGGAGACUUCCUGAGAAUACCAGGUGCUGUAAGCA
ensembl:rRNA 5S_rRNA 5S ribosomal RNA